rnacentral:rRNA from 1 species
UUUGGCAUUCGAGCUUACUCCCAACCCAAUGUGACGUUACCAAACUGUUGCCUCGGCGGGAUCUCUGCCCCGGGUGCGUCGCAGCCCCGGACCAAGGCGCCCGCCGGAGGACCAACCUAAAACUCUUAUUGUAUACCCCCUCGCGGGUUUUUUUAUAAUCUGAGCCUUCUCGGCGCCUCUCGUAGGCGUUUCGAAAAUGAAUCAAAACUUUCAACAACGGAUCUCUUGGUUCUGGCAUCGAUGAAGAACGCAGCGAAAUGCGAUAAGUAAUGUGAAUUGCAGAAUUCAGUGAAUCAUCGAAUCUUUGAACGCACAUUGCGCCCGCCAGUAUUCUGGCGGGCAUGCCUGUCCGAGCGUCAUUUCAACCCUCGAACCCCUCCGGGGGGUCGGCGUUGGGGAUCGGCCCUCCCUUAGCGGGGUGGCCGUCUCCGAAAUACAGUGGCGGUCUCGCCGCAGCCUCUCCUGCGCAGUAGUUUGCACACUCGCAUCGGGAGCGCGGCGCGUCCACAGCCGUUAAACACCCAACUUCUGAAAUGUUGACCUCGGAUCAGGUAGGAAUACCCGCUGAACUUAAGCAUAUCAUAGUCGGGGAGGAAU